rnacentral:ncRNA from 1 species
CCCGGCACUUUAAUUCCCGACAACAUACAACCCAUCACUUUAAUUCCCAACACCAUACAAACCGGCACUUUAAUUCCUGACCCCAUACAACCCGGCACUUUAAUUCCUGACACCAUACAACCCAGCACUUGAAUCCCCGACACCAUACAACCCAGGUGUCGGCGGCGGCCGGAACGUUUACUUUGAAAAAAUUAGAGUGUUCAAAGCAGGCUCUCGAGCCUGGAUAAUGGUGCAUGGAAUAAUGGAAUAGGACCUCGGUUCUAUUUUGUUGGUUUUCGGAGCGCGAGGUAAUGAUUAAGAGGGACAGACGGGGGCAUUCGUACUGUGCCGUUAGAGGUGAAAUUCUUGGAUCGGCGCAAGACGAACGACUGCGAAAGCAUUUGCCAAGAAUGUUUUCUUUAAUCAAGAGCGAAAGUCAGAGGUUCGAAGACGAUCAGAUACCGUCCUAGUUCUGACUAUAAACGAUGCCAACUAGCGAUCGGGGGGCGUUACAUUGACGACCCCUCCGGCAGCUUACGGGAAACCAAAGUCUUUGGGUUCCGGGGGAAGUAUGGUUGCAAAGCUGAAACUUAAAGGAAUUGACGGAAGGGCACCACCAGGAGUGGAGCCUGCGGCUUAAUUUGACUCAACACGGGAAAUCUCACCCGGCCCGGACACAGUGAGGAUUGACAGAUUGAGAGCUCUUUCUUGAUUCUGUGGGUGGUGGUGCAUGGCUGGUAGUAGUUGGUGGAGCGAU